GGCCAAGUUUUUAAGGGCACACGGUGGAUGCCUUGGCACCAGGAACCGAUGAAGGACGUGAGAGGCCGCGAUAGGCCCCGGGGAGCUGCCAACUGAGCUUUGAUCCGGGGGUGUCCGAAUGGGGAAACCCGGCAGUCGUCAUGGGCUGUCACCCACUGCUGAACACAUAGGCAGUGUGGAGGGAACGCGGGGAAGUGAAACAUCUCAGUACCCGCAGGAAGAGAAAACAACCGUGAUUCCGGGAGUAGUGGCGAGCGAAACCGGAUGAGGCCAAACCGUAUGCGUGUGAUACCCGGCAGGGGUUGCGCAUGCGGGGUUGUGGGAAUUCUUUUGACCGGUCUGCCGGCCGGUCGGCGAGUCAGAAACCGUUGAUGUAGUCGAAGGACAUGCGAAAGGUCCGGCGUAGAGGGUAAGACCCCCGUAGACGAAACAUCAGCGGCUUGCUUAAGAAUCUCCCAAGUAGCACGGGGCCCGAGAAAUCCCGUGUGAAUCUGGCGGGACCACCCGCUAAGCCUAAAUAUUCCCUGGUGACCGAUAGCGGAUAGUACCGUGAGGGAAUGGUGAAAAGUACCGCGGGAGCGGAGUGAAAUAGUACCUGAAACCGUGUGCCUACAAGCCGUGGGAGCGUCGCCGUUGUUCUUCGGAACACCGGUCGUGACUGCGUGCCUUUUGAAGAAUGAGCCUGCGAGUUAGCGGUGUGUAGCGAGGUUAACCCGUGUGGGGAAGCCGUAGCGAAAGCGAGUCCGAAUAGGGCGAUUGAGUUGCACGCUCUAGACCCGAAGCGGAGUGAUCUAGCCAUGGGCAGGUUGAAGCGGAGGUAAGACUUCGUGGAGGACCGAACCCACCAGGGUUGAAAACCUGGGGGAUGACCUGUGGUUAGGGGUGAAAGGCCAAUCAAACUCCGUGAUAGCUGGUUCUCCCCGAAAUGCAUUUAGGUGCAGCGUCACGUGUUUCUUGCCGGAGGUAGAGCACUGGAUAGGCGAUGGGCCCUACCGGGUUACUGACCUUAGCCAAACUCCGAAUGCCGGUAAGUGAGAGCGUGGCAGUGAGACUGUGGGGGAUAAGCUCCAUGGUCGAGAGGGAAACAGCCCAGAGCAUCGACUAAGGCCCCCAAGCGUACGCUAAGUGGGAAAGGAUGUGGAGUCGCACAGACAACCAGGAGGUUGGCUUAGAAGCAGCCACCCUUGAAAGAGUGCGUAAUAGCUCACUGGUCAAGUGAUUCCGCGCCGACAAUGUAGCGGGGCUCAAGCGUACCGCCGAAGUCGUGUCAUUGCAGCAAUAGGGCCAACGCCCGCUGUGAUGGGUAGGGGAGCGUCGUGUGCCGGGUGAAGCAGCAGCGGAAGCUAGUUGUGGACGGUUCACGAGUGAGAAUGCAGGCAUGAGUAGCGAUACACACGUGAGAAACGUGUGCGCCGAUUGACUAAGGG
rnacentral:rRNA from 1 species